UACGGAGGGUGCUAGCGUUGUUCGGAAUCACUGGGCGUAAAGGGCGUGUAGGCGGUCUGUUAAGUCUGAUGUGAAAUCCCCUCGCUCAACGAGGGAACUGCGUCGGAUACUGGCAGACUCGAGUACCGGAGAGGAAGGUGGAAUUCCCGGUGCAGCGGUGAAAUGCGUAGAUAUCGGGAGGAUCACCGGUGGCGAAGGCGGCCUUCUGGACGGAUACUGACGCUGAGACGCGAAAGCGUGGGGAGCAAACAGG
rnacentral:rRNA from 1 species